rnacentral:lncRNA from 1 species
AAAUAAAACCUACGUGCAGCAACAGUGUUUUGUGUUGUGUAGGCUCCUAUGAUGAAAGUAAAGGAAAUAAACAAGGAUGUGUGAAAGUAAUGAAAGCCAGAUCAUUUGUGAGACAAUAUAAAAAAGACUUUGGACAAUUAGCAGGACGUCAACAAGAGGAGGUGGAAGAAGGGGAAAGAGGAAAUGCAGUUUCUGCAGGUGAGGCAGUGGCAGUGCUGGACCAGUGUUUUGCCUCCGUAAUGGAUGAGAGCCAACAACCUGAAACUCAAUCCAGAAAAGUAUGAGGCACUGUUAGUGGGUGGCUCCCUAGACCAGAUGGGUGGGAGAUUACCUGCUCUUGAUGGGGUUACACUUCCCCUGAAGGAGCAUGUUUGUCGCUUGGGGGGGUUCCUGACUCUUUUGCUGUCGCUCAAGGUUCAGGUGGCCUCAGUGGCCCAGAGUGCCUUCCAUCAGCUUCGGCUGGUGGCCCAGCUACGUCCCUAUCUGGACAGGGAUAGCCUAACUAGUGUUGUCUGUGCUCUGGUAAGCUUGAGGUUAGAUUACUGCAAUGUGUUAUACGUUGGGCUGCCUCUGAAGACGGUUUGGAAACUUCAGCUAGUGCAGAAUUCAGUAGCCCAGUUGCUCACUGGAGCAAGACAAUGAGCAUAUUACACCAAUCCUGAUCCGACUGCACUGGCUACCAAUUAGUUUCUGGGCCCAAUUCAAAGUGCUGGUUUUGACCCAUAAAGCCUUAAACGGCUCAGGACCACAAUACUUCAAGAACCGCCUCUUUCCAUAUGAACCUACCCGGACCCUGAGAUCAUCUUCUGAGGCCCUCUUGUGCCUCCUCCUUUAGAGGUCCGGAGGAUGGCAACACGAGAACAGGCCUUCUCUGCAGUGGCUCCCCGUCUGUGGAAUGCUCUCCCCAGGGAAGCUCAGCUGGUGCCUUUUGGCACCAGGCAAAAAUGUUCCUUUUUAAGCAGGCCUUCGGUGGAUCUGAUUAACAUCCUACACCGUUUUAAAAUGUGGCUUUUUUGGGGGGGGUGUUAUUGCGUUGCUUUUAUUUUGAUUCUAUAUAUAUUGUGGUUUUUAUGUUGAUCUUUUCUGUGAACCGCCCUGAGACCUCCGAGGAUAGGGCGGUAUAUAAAUUUAAUAAAAUAAUAAUAAUAAUAAUAAUAAUAAUAAAUAAGUGAAGAAGGAGAGUAGGUAAGUAGAGACGGAGAGGAGUAAGGAGGAAAGGAGGAGGUGGGAGGGAAGAAUUAGGGUCAAGAGUAAAACAAAAAAUAAUCACCAAGGACUUUAUCAGAUCACAAUAAUGGUAAUCCUACAUGGGGAGGUGAGAUCACAAUGUCGGUGGAGAUUGAACGAAGAAAUAUUAAGCAAUAUAGAAUUGAAGAGGAAGUUAAAAAAAAAAGAAUGUUUUGAUUUCAAUCUCAAUCGAGGGGUGGGUGAGAAAGUGGUCUGGGACACAAGGCAGUUCUCAGGGGCAGUGGUGGUGAGUGUCCCUCUGGUGGUGGUGUGGCAGAGCACGGUGGCACCUCCUGUUUUGCCUCAAGUGGAAAAAUGGGACGUAUCACCCCGGAACUUACAGCUGUCAGUUUUGAGGGAAGACAGGCAAGAAUCCAAAGUCCAGGUGGGGCUUGCUAGCUCAGGGAGGAGGUGCGUGAUUCCUCAGCUAGAGAAGGCUCAGGUGAGGGUCCCAUGUCUUGUUAAACCCAGAAUAUACACAGUGGUACCUUGGGUUACAGACGCUUCAGGUUACAGACGCUUCAGGUUACAGACUCCGCUAACCCAGAAAUAGUACCUUGGGGUUAAGAACUUUACCUCAGGAUGAGAACAGAAAUCGUGCUCCAGCGGCGUAGCAGCAGCGGGAGGCCCCAUUAGCUAAAGUGGUGCUUCAGGUUAAGAACAGUUUCAGGUUAAGAACGGACCUCCAGAACAAAUUAAGUUCUUAACCCAAGGUACCUGUAAUAGGAAAGCCUUCCUGGGUCCUGGCCAGGCUUGCAUCCUGGCCACCGGGCUAUAGCUCUCCUGACACAUGAUUUGGACUGGAGCCGCAAUGUGGAGAUACAGCCACGGAAGAGACCAUGAAAACCACACUCAGCCUCCCAGUUUGGGAUACCCCACCCUUGAUCUACAACCUGCUGCUUAACCAGCCUUAUCAGGACCCGAAAGAGGCUUACAGUAAUUCAGUCAACACUACAAAACAAACAUCCUAGAAUGAACAACUGUAAACAGAUUCUGAAAGCAAAGAAUCAGCCAAACAUGAGGUCCAAUAAAAGUUGUUUCAUCUACUCCUUCUCCAGGAACCAAAAUGUCUUCCGAAGCUGAAAGUUCUUCAUUGCUGGAAGAGAAUCAGCCAGGCACCAAAUCUUAGGAAGGGAGUCUAGAAGGUGGGUAGACAGCCCUAAAUUUCACUGCUCAGGGAAGAUCACAGAGCACAACCCUAGAUGUGCAUCUGAUGAACAUUGUUUGGGAGACAUCCUAAUAAUAUUCCCCACAAAUUCGGGGGAAGGGGAGUUCUCUCCCAUUUCGAGAUUUGGUUUGAUACUAAAUGUGGUGCUGUACUGAUAAUGGGAUCUCAGUAAGGCAAAAGUCUUAACAGCUUGAUAGGAGGUUGAAUGAAAAAGUCAAGAGGGAGCAGAUAGUUUUGAUAUCACCUCUGAACUUGUUUGAACUGUUUGCCGUGCCUCGUCCCUGCACUUUGAGAUAUGACAGCUUGGAUGGCAUCCUCUUCUCCAUGAGUUUAGAUUUAUACUUUACCCUCAACGCACCAUUCUGCUUUGUUAGAUGUCCUGCGGUGCUUUCCCAAUGCUAUUGCAUUAUUGCAAUCUGAAGGGGCUCUCUUGCACUUUAGUGCUAUAGAAGAAGAGCCAGUGUGGCCCAAUGGUUAGAGUGUCAGGCAAGGAUCUGGGAGACCAGGGUUCAAAUUCCUACUUGGUGGUGACCUGGGGCCAAAUGCACCCUCUCAGACUAACCUACCUCACAGGGUUGUUGUGGGGAUUCAAUGAGGAGGGGGGAGAAAACUAUGUACACCACCUGGAGCAGCUUGGGGGGGGGAGGUGGGAUGUAAAUGCAAUAAAUAAAUAAAGUGGGACAAGAAAACAACCCCAGAAUAUUUGUAGCAUGAAAGGAUUUGUAGUACGCAGGAUUUCAGCAGGGACCUAAGGGAAAUAAGCCCCCCCCCCCAAAAAAAAACCUUUGCAGCUGCAAAUAAUGACAGCAGGAUUGCGUGUAACUGCCCCAAUAUUAUCAUGAACAAAAAUCAUGUCUAGAGGAACUCUGAAUAAAAUACAGUGGUACCUCGGGUUACAGAUGCUUCAGGUUACAGACGCUUCUGGUUACAGACUUCACUAACCCAGAAAUAGUACCUCAGGUUAAGAACUUUGCUUCAGGAUGAGAACAGAAAUCGCGCGGCGGCAGCGGGAGGCCCCAUUAGCUAAAGUGGUACCUCAGGUUAAGAACAGUUUCAGGUUAAGAACGGACCUCCAGAACGAAUUAAGUUCUUAACCUGAGGUAGCACUGUAUCUGCUAAGAGGAUUAUUUAAUUUUUCACUUAUCCCUGUUUUGAACACCGGAGGGCAGUCUGAGUCCACUGUUGCUCUGGCUGAAGCCUUUGCAAAUGUUGUUUUCCUCCCCUCUCCAGCUAUAAUGACAGAUGUUACAUAAAGGCCCCAUAGUAGAUAAACCAUUUCUCGCUGAUGUUUUGGUACAAAAAUGAAAGUUCAUUUUUUCUGGAACAUUUCUGCAAAAUGUUUUCAGAAUAAAAAGAGCCUGACGAGUCAGGAAACUAUUUUCAGUGUCGGGUCACAUUUACUCAGAUCUCUGAUUCUCUCCUUCCAGGUUAGAAAAAAGACAAUUCAUCAAUAUCUGGAGCUCAUCAACUUUGCUGUCUAUGGCAUUACCGUAGCACCCAGGCACUUGAUAAGAUUGCUAGGGCUCUGAGAGUCCCAGGGACCUUUCUCCUGCCAACAGCAUGGCGGUGUGGGGACUGCAACAAGACUUUCUCCUGAGCCUUACAAGCUUGGAUUGGCAGGCUGCGAUGCAGGAGGCGCAGGAAGAGGAAGAAAUGGAGGAGGGGACUGAAUGGCAGGGAGCUGGGUUGGAGGAGCGAGGCUCUACACUUUCCACCCUGAGUUCAGUCACUUUAGAAGGGGGACCAGAGAUGCCAGCUCUGCCUUCUGACCUGCUCAGGAGCAGAGAGACAUAGAAGUGACUGGAGAAGGCUUUGAUCAGCUGGGGGGGGGGGAGACUGAAAAGGAGGAGGCAGGGGCCGGACAGGAAAGUGUAGCCUUGUCCAUAACGUAGAUGGGAGCAGACCCACCCAAUGUUGGUGGAGUGCACCCUUGCAAGCUUGACAUUCCCGUAAGGUGAGAGGGUCUUGGGAGUGAGAACCCCACCUCUCACCCUUCAAAGCUGGCCCAGUGGAGUGGGAAGCUUAUUUGGGCAUCUUUAUCAUUUCUUGCCCUUCUCUGGACCUCCUGAACUAUGACUCCUGAGCAUCAUAUUUGCUGCCAAGCCUAUGACAACUUCCAGCAUCUACUGAAGACUCUUUGUUCCAGCAGGCAUAAUAAAUGAAUUCUGAUUUAAUGGUUUAAACCAAUUUAUAUUUUAUUCCGUUC